rnacentral:rRNA from 1 species
GAGUUUGAUCAUGGCUCAGGAUGAACGCGGGCGGCGUGCCUAACACAUGCAAGUCGAACGAAGCAUAUAGAAAGAAGUUUUCGGAUGGAAUUUUAUAUGACUUAGUGGCGGACGGGUGAGUAACGCGUGGAUAAUCUGCCUUACACAGCGGGAUAACAAAUGGAAACAGUUGCUAAUACCGCAUAAGCACACAGUAUCGCAUGAUACAGGGUGAAAAGAUUUAUCGGUGUAAGAUGAGUCCGCGUCCCAUUAGCUAGUUGGUGAGGUAAAAGCUUACCAAGGCGACGAUGGGUAGCCGGCCUGAGAGGGUGAACGGCCACAUUGGGACUGAGACACGGCCCAGACUCCUACGGGAGGCAGCAGUGGGGGAUAUUGCACAAUGGGCGAAAGCCUGAUGCAGCGACGCCGCGUGAAGGAAGAAGUAUUUCGGUAUGUAAACUUCUAUCAUUCAGGGAAGAG